GAUGAAGAACGCAGCGAAAUGCGAUAAGUAAUGUGAAUUGCAGAAUUCAGUGAAUCUUCGAAUCUUUGAACGCACAUUGCGCCCGCCAGUAUUCUGGCGGGCAUGCCUGUUCGAGCGUCAUUUCAACCCUCAGGGCCCUUUUGGACCUGGCGUUGGGGCUCGGCCGCUACCCUGCGGCCGUCCCCGAAAGAUAGUGGCGGUCUCGCUGUAGCCUCCUCUGCGUAGUAGUUACAUCUCGCACUGGAACGCGGCGCGGCCAUGCCGUUAAACACCCCACUUCUCAAGGUUGACCUCGGAUCAGGUAGGAAUACCCGCUGAACUUAAGCAUAUCAAUAAGCGGAGGA
rnacentral:misc_RNA from 1 species